rnacentral:tRNA from 1 species
GGGGACGUGGCCAAGCCAGGCAUGGCGACUGACUCCAGAGGCCACGCGCCCGGUGACGAGACUCCAGACUGAUAUACCGAGCGGACGGCUGAUCACCGCUUCCGCGUUGACGACCCUCUGGAGGACCGAGGCGCAUACCGGAGAUAUCAGUCGAUCGGGGGUUCAAAUCCCUCCGUCCCCA